GUUGACUGGGAAACUCAUCAAAUUUUAAUGAAAUACCGAGACAAGCUCAGGACAUCAAUGGCGGGCCUCACCUCCUUUCAAUAUUUGGCAGGAGUUGUUAGUAGCACAGAGGAUUACAAAGAUUUCCGGGCACUCAAAUCCUGUCAUUCGGAGUUUCAUCACAUCCUUUGAUGUGGCCC
rnacentral:sRNA from 1 species